ACAUGCUUACAACAUAGAAUUAAUGCACCAGAUCCCAUUAGAGCUCCACAUUUAAGUGUGCUUAGGAUAGAGUAGUACUGGUAUGGGUGACCGCCUAGGAAUUCCUAGUGUUUUACAUGCC
rnacentral:rRNA from 1 species